rnacentral:rRNA from 1 species
AAGUCGAACGGCAGCAUGAUCUAGCUUGCUAGAUUGAUGGCGAGUGGCGAACGGGUGAGUAAUACAUCGGAACGUGCCCUGUAGUGGGGGAUAACUAGUCGAAAGAUUAGCUAAUACCGCAUACGACCUGAGGGUGAAAGUGGGGGACCGCAAGGCCUCAUGCUAUAGGAGCGGCCGAUGUCUGAUUAGCUAGUUGGUGAGGUAAAGGCUCACCAAGGCGACGAUCAGUAGCUGGUCUGAGAGGACGAUCAGCCACACUGGGACUGAGACACGGCCCAGACUCCUACGGGAGGCAGCAGUGGGGAAUUUUGGACAAUGGGGGCAACCCUGAUCCAGCAAUGCCGCGUGUGUGAAGAAGGCCUUCGGGUUGUAAAGCACUUUUGUCCGGAAAGAAAUCGCACUUACUAAUAUUAGGUGUGGAUGACGGUACCGGAAGAAUAAGGACCGGCUAACUACGUGCCAGCAGCCGCGGUAAUACGUAGGGUCCAAGCGUUAAUCGGAAUUAUUGGGCGUAAAGCGUGCGCAGGCGGUUGUGCAAGACCGAUGUGAAAUCCCCGGGCUUAACCUGGGAAUUGCAUUGGUGACUGCGCGGCUAGAGUGUGUCAGAGGGGGGUAGAAUUCCACGUGUAGCAGUGAAAUGCGUAGAGAUGUGGAGGAAUACCGAUGGCGAAGCAGCCCCCUGGGAUAACACUGACGNUCAUGCACGAANGCGUGGGGAGCAAACAGGAUUAGAUACCNNGUAGUCACGCCUAAACGAUGUCAACUAGUGUUGGGGAUUCAUUUCCUUAGUAACGUAGCUAACGCGUGAAGUUGACCGCCUGGGGAGUACGGUCGCAAGAUUAAAACUCAAAGGAAUUGACGGGGACCCGCACAAGCGGUGGAUGAUGUGGAUUAAUUCGAUGCAACGCGAAAAACCUUACCUACCCUUGACAUGCCACUAACGAAGCAGAGAUGCAUUAGGUGCUCGAAAGAGAAAGUGGACACAGGUGCUGCAUGGCUGUCGUCAGCUCGUGUCGUGAGAUGUUGGGUUAAGUCCCGCAACGAGCGCAACCCUUGUCUCUAGUUGCUACGAAAGGGCACUCUAGAGAGACUGCCGGUGACAAACCGGAGGAAGGUGGGGAUGACGUCAAGUCCUCAUGGCCCUUAUGGGUAGGGCUUCACACGUCAUACAAUGGUGCAUACAGAGGGUUGCCAAGCCGCGAGGUGGAGCUAAUCCCAGAAAAUGCAUCGUAGUCCGGAUCGUAGUCUGCAACUCGACUACGUGAAGCUGGAAUCGCUAGUAAUCGCGGAUCAGCAUGCCGCGGUGAAUACGUUCCCGGGUCUUGUACACACCGCCCGUCACACCAUGGGAGUGGGUUUUGCCAGAAGUAGUUAGCCUAACCGCAAGGGGGGCGAUUACCACGGCAGGGUUCAUGACUGGGGUGAAGUCGUAAC